rnacentral:rRNA from 1 species
UACAGAGGGUGCAAGCGUUGUUCGGAAUUAUUGGGCGUAAAGGGCGCGUAGGCGGUGCCACAAGUCACCUGUGAAAUCUCCGGGCUUAACUCGGAGCCUGCAGGCGAAACUGUGGUGCUGGAGUGUGGGAGAGGUGCGUGGAAUUCCCGGUGUAGCGGUGAAAUGCGUAGAUAUCUGGAGGAACACCGGUGGCGAAGGCGGCAUCCUGGACCGACACUGACGCUGAGGUGCGAAAGCGUGGGAGCAAACAGG